GACGAACGCUGGCGGCGUGCUUAACACAUGCAAGUCGAACGGAAAGUCCCUGCUUUUUUGCGGUGCUCGGGUGGCGACCGGGUGAGUAACACGUGAGUAACCUACCCUUGACUUUGGGAUAACUUCAGGAAACUGGGGCUAAUACCGGAUAGGAGCUCCUGCUGCAUGGUGGGGGUUGGAAGGUUUCGGCGGUUGGGGAUGGACUCGCGGCUUAUCAGCUUGUUGGUGGGGUAGUGUCAUACCAAGGCUUUGACGGGUAGCCGGCCUGAGAGGGUGAGAGGCCACACUGCGACUGAGAUACGGCCCAGACUCCUAUGGGAGGCAGCAGUGGGGAAUAUUGUACAAUGGGCGGAAGCCUGAUGCAGCAAAGCCGCGUGCGGGAUGACGUCAUUCGGGUUGUAAUCCGCUUCCGCCUGUGACGAAGCGUGAGUGACGGUAAUGGGUAAAGAAGCUCCGGCUAACUACGUG
rnacentral:rRNA from 1 species